rnacentral:rRNA from 1 species
UCGGGAAUUUUGGGCAAUGGGCGAAAGCCUGACCCAGCAACGCCGCGUGAAGGAUGAAGUAUUUCGGUAUGUAAACUUCGAAAGAAUAGGAAGAAUAAGUGACGGUACUAUUUAUAAGGUCCGGCUAACUACGUGCCAGCAGCCGCGGUAAUACGUAGGGACCAAGCGUUGUUCGGAUUUACUGGGUUUAAAGGGUGCGUAGGCGGUGAUAUAAGUCAGUGGUGAAAGGCCGUAGCUUAACUAUGGGAUUGCCAUUGAUACUGUAUGACUUGAAUCAGGAUGAGGUUGGCGGAAUGUGGCAUGUAGCGGUGAAAUGCUUAGAUAUGCCAUAGAACACCGAUUGCGAAGGCAGCUGACUGGACCUUGAUUGACGCUGAGGCACGAAAGCGUGGGGAGCGAACAGGAUUAGAUACCCAUGUAGUCCCUGAGCGGGCUGGCAAGGCGCAU